rnacentral:rRNA from 1 species
GUCUAUGACCAUACCACCCUGGACACUCCUGAUCUCAUCUGAUCUGGGAUGCUGAGCAGGAUAGGGGCUGAUUAGUAGGUAGAUGAGAGAAUCCUUUGGGAGGCUGGUAACACU